rnacentral:rRNA from 1 species
AGUGAACGCUGGCGGUAGGCCUAAUACAUGCAAGUCGAACGGAAACAUAGUAAGCGCGUGCUCUUACGGGUGGCGAGUGGCGGACGGGUGAGGCAUGCAUCACCUACUACUUUUUCUGGGGGAAUAACGUAGAGCAACUGACGCUACUACCUCAUACUACGAACGGCUGGAUUCUAAAGAUCUUGAUACCUUUGGCGACAGAUAGAGCCGGUGUCGUAUUAGAUAGUUGGCGGGGUAACGGCACACCAAGGCGACGAUCCGUAGCUGGUCUGAGAGGAUGAUCAGCCACACUGGAACUGAGACACGGUCCAGACUCCUACGGGAGGCAGCAGUGGGGAAUAUUGGGCAAUGGGCGAAAGCCUGAUCCAGCAACACCGCGUGGGUGAAGAAGGCCUUCGGAUUGUAAAGCCCUUUUGUUGGGAAAGAAAAGAAGCGGGUUAAUCCCCCGCUGUUCUGACGGUACCCAAAGAAUAAGCACCGGCUAACUUCGUG